GACGAACGCUGGCGGCGUGCUUAACACAUGCAAGUCGAACGGAAAGGCCCUGCUUUUGUGGGGUGCUCGAGUGGCGAACGGGUGAGUAACACGUGAGUAACCUGCCCUUGACUUUGGGAUAACUUCAGGAAACUGGGGCUAAUACCGGAUAGGAGCUCCUACUGCAUGGUGGGGGUUGGAAAGUUUCGGCGGUUGGGGAUGGACUCGCGGCUUAUCAGCUUGUUGGUGGGGUAGUGGCUUACCAAGGCUUUGACGGGUAGCCGGCCUGAGAGGGUGACCGGCCACAUUGGGACUGAGAUACGGCCCAGACUCCUACGGGAGGCAGCAGUGGGGAAUAUUGCACAAUGGGCGGAAGCCUGAUGCAGCAACGCCGCGUGCGGGAUGACGGCCUUCGGGUUGUAAACCGCUUUCGCCUGUGACGAAGCGUGAGUGACGGUAAUGGGUAAAGAAGCACCGGCCAACUACGUG
rnacentral:rRNA from 1 species